CCGCCAAUGAAACAACGUUUUCUUAACAUCGUAAAAUCCCAAUUCCAAAGCCUACCAAAAAGCCAUAAAUCCAUCAGAUCAAAUCAUCCACUGACCACAUCCACCUCCUUUACCCCCCCUCCCCUCCUCCCCAACUACCACAAUUUCUUCACCGCUUCGUUUUCCUGCCGUUCGCUCCUCAGCUUUCUGCAGUUUCCCCAGCUAGCCAAACACCUGCUUAAACUGUAGUUUCCUUCCAAUUUUGCUUCUCAAGUAUCAAUUUCCCAUUCUCUUUCGCACCUCAACUUUGAUCCCUGGGAAAUUCGAUUCCCCAUAUCUAGGGUUUCUGUUUGUAUUCUCUUUUUUCACCUUCAUUCAUUCCCAUGAAAUGAUCGUUGAUUACGAGGACCGCGGUGGGGGGGAUGAUUCUGAUUCCUGUUCCAAGUCGAUAAACGAGACGGUGAAUGGGUCCCACCAUUUCACCAUCAGGGGUUACUCCCUGGCUAAAGGAAUGGGUCCCGGAAAGUACAUAACUAGCGAUACAUUCACAGUGGGCGGUUAUGAUUGGGCCGUUUAUUUCUACCCUGAUGGUAAGAAUAUUGAGGAUUCUUCCACGUAUGUCUCUGUUUUCAUCGCCCUUGCUAGUGAGGGCACUGAUGUCAGGGCACUGUUCGAGCUGACUCUAUUGGAUCAGAGCGGUAAAGGGAAGCACAAAGUUCAUAGCCAUUUUGAUCGGGCGCUCGAGAGUGGCCCGUAUUCUUUGAAAUAUAGAGGAAGCAUGUGGGGUUACAAACGAUUUUUCAGAAGAUCAGUUUUGGAAACUUCUGACUACCUGAAGGAUGAUUGCCUGUCUAUGCACUGUACUGUUGGAGUUGUGAGAACUCGUGUUGAAGGACCCAAAGAUUAUAGUGUUUCUGUUCCUCCAUCAGACAUGGGCCAAAGUCUCAAAUAUGUGCUGGAUGCUGAACUUGGUUGUGAUAUUGAUUUCCGUGUUGGCGAAGAGACUUUUAAGGCUCAUAAGUUGAUACUAGCUGCUCGUUCUCCUGUGUUNAGUGUUUAGAUCCCAAUUCUUUGGGCUUGUGGGGAAUCCUAAUUCUGACAAAGUAGAACUUGAGGAUAUUGAGCCCUCAAUUUUCAAGGCUAUGCUCCAUUUCAUUUACUCUGAUGAGCUUCCGGAUUUGCUUGAGAUUGCUGGCUCUACUUCAACAUGUACAUCUACAAUAAUGAUGCAGCAUAUAUUGGCUGCAGCGGACCGCUUUGGUUUAGAUAGGUUGAAACAGUUAUGCGAGGCUAAAUUAUGUGAAGAAGUUAAUGUGGAGACAGUGGCUACAACUCUUUCCCUUUCGGAGCAGCAUCAAUGCCUACAGCUUAAAGCCAUAUGUUUGAAAUUUGCUGCAACAAACUUGGGAGUUGUCAUGCAGUCAGAAGGAUUUAAGCACUUAGAAGAGAGCUGCCCGUCACUGUUGUCAGAACUACUGGAAACAGUUGCAUCAGUUGAUGAGAAGGCGCCUGUGAUGUCUAGCAAGAAAAGGACUAGCAGCAGCAUCUUUGGGUUGGAUGUGGCAGCAGAUGGUGCUGCAGCAGAAUCUGUUAAUCCAAAUGCUAGGCGUGUGCGAAGACGGAUGUAAUCUUAUAGUAGUCUUUGAGUGCAAAGCAAGCUUCUUGGUAGAAAAUCUGCUACUAGAAAAUUUAGCUAAUGAUUAUGUUUAUGUAAGUCAAUUCGUUGUUAUCGGGAUGUAGGAACAGUUCUAAUGAGCUUAAGUGAUAACUUUUAAUGUUAGCAUUAUUGGUUUCAUGUCCUCUGUUGAUCCAAACAACCUAAGGGCAGGAUAGGUGGUAUAUAAUGUAUCUUGUUAUCUUUUUGACUACCCGAGCUACUUGUUUCUGUAAGACACAGCUUUAAUGAAUAUGUAACGAGUUCCCCAUA